rnacentral:misc_RNA from 1 species
GGAAGGAUCAUUCGCACAGCCAGCCGCAAGGCAAGGCAAGGAAUCCAAUUGUAGUGAACAGUGCCAGGUGGAGGCCAUCUGUUCGGCUGAAAUUUGUGCCGCAACGAAACAUAGGUCCCCGCGCACAGGGGUAGCAAUACUUGGUACGGCGGUAACAGAUUUCACUUUGCUCAGUGCCUUGCUAUUCUGGGGGAAUAAACGGUGUGCAAUUCUUACGGUAUAAAUCUAAACAAAUAAUUGAGGCCCUUAACGAUGGAUGCCUCGGCUCGUGAAGCGAUGAAGGACGCAGCUAAGUGCGAUAAGCACUGUGAAUUGCUGAAUUCCGCGAAUCAGUAGGUUUCCUAACGCAUUUUGCGCGAAGUGGACUUGUCCACUUUGCAGGCCUGUGUCAGCGUCGUAUUACACAUACCCCUGUCGGCAUUUAUGUUCGUCAGAGAGUGCCGGUGAUGACUCCGGUCGGCUGUCGGAUAAUUGUGUGCUGUCUUCGGGCGGUGCAUUCAUGAUAUCGGGGUCAGUGCCGUCAAACGUGUUGACUCCAUUUAAAGUUGGACGCUGGACCUAGACUUUGUCCGUCGCUUGCGAUGCGCUUCUGUGUAUUUCAUUCUAUGGGCAUUCACCAGUAGUUACAUUUCGCCGUCAGGUGAGUUGUUAUAAUCCUGCUGUCGUGUUUGGACCGGAGUGACUGGUCACUAUUGCUGCGACGUCGUUUGCGUAAGACUUGUGUUUGGGACUGGCGGACUUCUCAGUAUCCGACCUGAUGUAGACCAGAUAACCCACUUAAUUUAAGCAUAUCAGUAAGUGGAGGAAAAUAAACUAACUAGGAUUCCCUUAGUAAUGGCGAAUGAACAGGGAAAAGCCCACUGCCCAAUUGUCUUCCGUCAGGAAGGAAACAUGUGGCUUUGGUGGCCUACCAGUGACCGCGUUGGUACAAGUUCUCUGGAAAGGGACAUUAAGAAGGGUGAAAAUCCCGUUCAUGACCAAUAGCAAGGUUACGUACGGUGGUCACUGUAGUGAGUCGCGUUCCUUGGGACUGGAGCGUUAAUGGGUGGUAGAUUCCAUCCAAGGCUAAAUAUAAACACGAGACCGAUAGAAAACAAGUACCGCGAGGGAAAGGUUAAAAGAACUUUGAAAAGAGAGUUAAAAGUGCCUGAAAUCGUUAAGGGGGAAGCAGAUACCGCGGUUGAUUUGCUCUUGCGUGGAUUAUUGGCUUGCUCACUGACUUGUGGCCCUGCGGACAGGUGCAAACCACCGUUGGACUUCCAGGGCGUCAGCGGGUUGUAUAUCAACGCAGGACAAGGCGACAUCAAUUCUAAACCAUAAACAAGUGCAGCUGGUUGUGAGUUGGUCUGCGGGCAUUCUCGCAUUGGUUGUCGAUUAUGUGCCGGGAUUGAGGACUUCGAUGUGUGGGCAACACUACUGUCUGACUGCUGAGAAGGUUUGCUGAUUCGGUUUAUGAUUGACAGGUAAGCUCCUCAACAGUGCGGAUGUAGCCCUCAUGCAACGGAUGUCGGUGGUAACAGUGGUAUUUGUCCCGUCUUGAAACACGGACCAAGGAGUCAAUCGUAUGUGCGAGUGUGUGAAUUCAAACAUUCAUGUGCGUAAUGAAAGUAACAAAGCUACGAAGUUGUACAAGCAGCAGACAGUAGUGGCCGACCCUGAUCCUCGGGGAUGGGCUCGAGCAAGAGCACAGCCGAUUGGACCCGAAAGAUGGUGAACUAUGCCUGGGUAGGGUGAAGCCAGGGGAAACUCUGGUGGAGGCUCGUAGCGAUACUGACGUGCAAAUCGUUCGUCAAACUUGGGCAUAGGGGCGAAAGACUAAUCGAACCAUCUAGUAGCUGGUUCCCUC